AAAUAACAAGCAUGUAUGACUUAAGUUUUUACAAUACAACGUCCAACAUGACACAAUGUAAACAUUCUUUAAAAGACAUUUAUUAAGGAGAUUUGCAUCUGGUGUAGUAAAUCGGAUGCGUUCUUUUUAUCUUAUUGCAUUUAAUGGAAAGUUGGAUUACAUACAACCAUCCCCAUAAGACCACUUUAAUGACUAAAACACUAUGGAUGUCAGCUUCUCAUUUAUAAGUAAUACCCACUGCCCAUCGUUGAAUUUUUCAUUUGUCGCAAAUGAAACGAUCGUGCAUGUUUCCAUUUUAUAAUUCUUAUUAAAAGGGAUGUGCUGCUGGUAAAAUACAACUCCCAGAAUAAACGAAGGUACUAGGGAAAAGGAUAAAAAUCAACACUAAGUAGGUUUCACGGUAGCAAAAAGGCAUUGGCUAAGUUUUUGUAUUGUUCAUGUUUAUAGAUAUAGGACAUGUAGGAUAUGAGGAAUUUUUACUCCUCUGUAAAUUUAGCGAUUUUCUUUAAUGACAUUUGACUCGUUGGUGCCUCUGCUUAAGCAACAUUCAGAGUUCAGCCGGUUCAUCGCUAUUACGCCUGAUUUGAAUAUUUCAAAUACAUUAGUUGAUCUACAUGUAACUAGACUACCAAUAAAUAUUUGAGAGUACUGGCGGACUGUUAGUCUCUGUUGUUAUGUUUACAGUUCAGAGGCAUGUACUUCGGCUAUUCAAGUACUAAUUAUUGAUCUUGCAAAACAAUCAUCAAAUUAUACUUCAAUAAAUGUGGUAACUUGUCACGUUAUAUUCUAAAAAUACAAACUGA
rnacentral:lncRNA from 1 species